rnacentral:rRNA from 1 species
CCUACGGGCGGCUGCAGUGGGGAAUAUUGGACAAUGGGCGAAAGCCUGAUCCAGCAAUACCGCGUGUGUGAAGAAGGCCUUAGGGUUGUAAAGCACUUUCAAUUGGAAGGAAAACCUCGAAGUUAAUACCUUCGAGUUUGACAUUACCUUUAGAAGAAGCACCGGCUAACUCCGUGCCAGCAGCCGCGGUAAUACGGAGGGUGCAAGCGUUAAUCGGAAUUACUGGGCGUAAAGCGUGCGUAGGCGGCUCGUUAAGUCAGAUGUGAAAGCCCUGGGCUCAACCUGGGAACUGCAUUUGAAACUGGCGAGCUAGAGUUUGAGAGAGGUAAGUGGAAUUUCAGGUGUAGCGGUGAAAUGCGUAGAGAUCUGAAGGAACACCAGUGGCGAAGGCGACUUACUGGCUUAAAACUGACGCUCAGGUACGAAAGCGUGGGUAGCAAACAGGAUUAGAUACCCGGGUAGUC